GAAAUGUGAUAAGUAAUGUGAAUUGCAGAAUUCAGUGAAUCAUCGAAUCUUUGAACGCACAUUGCGCCCGCCAGCACUCUGGCGGGCAUGUCUGUUCGAGCGUCAUUUCAACCCUCAGAACCCCUUGCGGGAUCUGGCGUUGGGGAUUGGCAUCCAGCCAGCCCCGAAAUCUAGUGGCGGUCCCUCCGCGACCUCCCCUGUGCAGUAGCGAUACCUCGCAGCGGGACAGCGGUCUGACCACGCCGUAAAACCCCCAACUUCUCAAGGUUGACCUCGAAUCAGGUAGGAAUACCCGCUGAACUUAAGC
rnacentral:misc_RNA from 1 species